AUGUCUUUCCACCCUCCUGCAAACUCCCCUGAGUGCAGGCCCCCUCUGCCUCCCUGUCCGUGUAGGCCUUCUGGAACCAGGCAGAUCACAGUGCUGCAGUACGCCAGAGAGCUCCGAGUGUGCUUUUCAUCGCCCACAAGAGGAGGCGAAGCAGCCUGCUUCAGAGAGUGGAAAGUUUUGCCUGGUUUGGAAGACUGGUGAAGUUAAAGCUGGGAUAAGAAUGCACUGAAAGCACCUAUACAAGACAAAGAAAUAUUACUGUGCUGGCAAAAUGAUUCUUGAGAACUCCUGGCCCAAUUUAUGAGAGACAAAUUCCAAUGAAGGGUAAUAAUAAUGGCAAGGCUUUUAAUAGUCCAUUGAGCCCUGUUUUGCAGGAGCUGGGCAAACACUGAGAGCUCUAAGGCUGCUCUACAUUUGGCUGAAAUUAAAGGUGCACAUAGUGUUGGGGAUUUGUUUUCCGAUCUAUAGAAUUCUAUGAAAACUGUAAUUCAGCCAUGCCCGGGGAAAUGUCUCUAUUAAUGCUCCAUUCAUAUUUUAAAAGUCAGUCCAGUCCUUGAGUUUUCAAUGUUCCCUUACAACAUCUGUUUACUAGCAAGUAAAACCAUGCUCUAAGCAUGGGGUCUGAACAUUCAAAGGUUUUAAAAACAAGCCAUUACAGAACCAGAAAUCUAAUCCUUCAGUUAAUCAACAGCAAUAUUUGAAAAGGGAGGAGCUAUUGGAUAUCUACAUUGCCUCAGGUAAGGACCAGGAAUAAUGCACAUCCAGAAACGAAAUGUGUGUAAAUCACUGCAAAAUUGACCAAAGCUGCAUUUCGUGGCAUUCAAAAUACAAGAAAGAUCUGAUGGGGGUGAAGGGAAGCUGUUCAGCUGCUGAAAAAUACU
rnacentral:lncRNA from 1 species